AAGCCAGGACUUCUAGCCUGAUGAAGGGAAGGCUGAAGGAACAUUUGGUGAUAGGUCACUGGAUGGCACAUCAGCAGUUUUCUGUCUCCUUCAAGAAGAAAGAAGGCACAGACAUCAAGAGAGGACUUUUCAGCAAGAACCCUUGGAGGAGAUCACUGUGAUAAGUCGCAUACUAUCAGAGAUUGUCCCACAGUAGGGCCCUUGAACACACAUACCAUGAAAGCCUGCCUUGGAUAGCGGGGAUCUCAGAUUUAAUGGGGCCACAGCCUGAGACUAGACCCAGCUUUAUUAAGUCCUCUUGCAUCAUCUCUCCCUCAAUGACAGCUUUUAAAAGCUAGCUUUUGGAGUUCUGGCAACAAAGGAGCUCUAUUGUGGAGGCGAAGGCUUUGAG